CGAAGGCGGGAAAAAUUCCAAUAUGGACGCCAUGUCUUUCUUGGUGACUUUCUUUCGUGAAAAUAUUUGUGACCGCGCGCAAUGCGGUUAAUAGAAUCAGUAUUUGCUUCGUCAUAGUAUAUUUUUAAUAUUUUUUAGAGCACAAUAGCUCUGAUUAAAUUUAAUUAGAAUAAUCAAACGCGACUAUAGAAGCAGUGUUUGUUCGCCGAUUAUAAUUUAUGUACGGACGCGUUAUUAGUUUCUUAUUUUUAUUUUUUUUUCUUUUUAUAAAUAUUCGUUUUCGGUAUAGGGUAGAAUCAGUGUUUCUCUCAAGAGAAUACAGCGAUCAUCCACCACGCGAAGAGAUGCUUAUCAUCUUUAUGAAGAUUUUUCUUGGAUUUUAUUCUUAAAAAAUAUUUGUGACCACGCGCAAUGUGGUUAUAUAGAAUCAGUGUUUGCUUCGUAACAGUAUUUUGAAUAUAUUUUUAAAGCGCAAUAGCUUUAAUUAAAUUUAAUAUAUAUAUAUAUAUAUAAUUGCACGCGAAAUUAGAAUCAGUGCUUGUUCGCCGAUUAGACAGAAUAUAUACGAACGCGUUAUUAGUUUCUUAUUUUGUUAUUUUUUUAUUUUAAAUAUUCGUUUUCGGUAUAGGGUAGAGUCAGUGCUUCUCUCAAGAGAAUAAAGUGAUCAUCCAUCACGCGAAGAGAUUUCUUCUUCAUCUUCCUACAUGAUGACAACCUUCUUCUCGAUGACUUCUGGGCUACAAUAACAGGGAAGGCGUUCGUCGCAUCAUAUGAUUUAAUUGGUCAUAGUAGAUCUCGAAGGCGGGAAAAAUUCCAAUAUGGACGCCAUGUCUUUCUUGGUGACUUUCUUUCGUGGUAAAAUUUUAUAUUUCAUAUGUAUAAAUUUUUAUUCUGUUUUAUUGGAUUAUUGUAGUGAUUGUUGUUAAGCAAUUGAUGUAAUAAAAUUACAUUUUAGUUAAAAGAAAGUGAAAAAAAAAAUUUUUUUAUUAAAUUUCAGAUAUUAAUAAAUAAUUGGUAACAUUUUUAUUACAUAAUUUAUAACCAAUUAAAAUAAAAAGGCAGUAUUUUCAGAACAAAUGCUCGAUAGGAAGAAGAAGAAAAAUAUCAAAAAGAUAUUGCUUCUUCUUCUAUUUUUCUCUAUCCCUCUACUAAUUUAAUGUUAAUUUCAGAAAAUAUUUGUGACCGCGCGCAAUGCGGUUAAUAGAAUCAGUAUUUGCUUCGUCAUAGUAUAUUUUUAAUAUUUUUUAGAGCACAAUAGCUCUGAUUAAAUUUAAUUAGAAUAAUCAAACGCGACUAUAGAAGCAGUGUUUGUUCGCCGAUUAUAAUUUAUGUACGGACGCGUUAUUAGUUUCUUAUUUUUAUUUUUUUUUCUUUUUAUAAAUAUUCGUUUUCGGUAUAGGGUAGAAUCAGUGUUUCUCUCAAGAGAAUACAGCGAUCAUCCACCACGCGAAGAGAUGCUUAUCAUCUUUAUGAAGAUUUUUCUUGGAUUUUAUUCUUAAAAAAUAUUUGUGACCACGCGCAAUGUGGUUAUAUAGAAUCAGUGUUUGCUUCGUAACAGUAUUUUGAAUAUAUUUUUAAAGCGCAAUAGCUUUAAUUAAAUUUAAUAUAUAUAUAUAUAUAUAAUUGCACGCGAAAUUAGAAUCAGUGCUUGUUCGCCGAUUAGACAGAAUAUAUACGAACGCGUUAUUAGUUUCUUAUUUUGUUAUUUUUUUAUUUUAAAUAUUCGUUUUCGGUAUAGGGUAGAGUCAGUGCUUCUCUCAAGAGAAUAAAGUGAUCAUCCAUCACGCGAAGAGAUUUCUUCUUCAUCUUCCUACAUGAUGACAACCUUCUUCUCGAUGACUUCUGGGCUACAAUAACAGGGAAGGCGUUCGUCGCAUCAUAUGGUGAGUCGCAUGCUUUUUGGUUCCUCCGGUCACUCAACCAUGUCGUAGGAUGAAAGAUCCGAAUCGACACGAGUGAUUGGUUGUAUACGUAGAAUUUUGCACGAGCACAAUGACCGCGGGUAUUUACUUAUAAUAAAUACCCGUGAGUAGUAACAAUUAUUUUUUUGUGUUUUAUUUAUUAGUUCAGGCUAGAGUCUUCUUGCAUUUCGCGUUUUUGAUUAAUACUAUUUUGAUUAAUUUAUUAAAUGUUUUAUUAAUAUAUUGAUUAAAUGUUUAGUAAUUUUCUAAUGUCAAAACGUAUAAUAAUUAUCAGUAUAAUAAUAAUUAGUAUAUAACAUAAUAAUAUAAUAAUAAUAAUAAUAUAACAAUACUUAGGUUGAAUUUCUCUAAUUCAAAAUCCUUCAGAGUAACAUUUUAUGUUAUUUGAUCAACUUGAUUAUUGUGAUAUACAUAAUAAUUUACAUAAUAAUUUCAUAUAACUUCAAUAUAUGAUUUACAACACUAGUGAAUAAUAAAGUUCAAUUUUUAUUCGUACAAAUGUGAAUUAAAUUUUAUGCAAGAAGACAUUUCGCGACAGGCAGAUUUUAGAAUCAGAGCAAUAAGUUUUGAAUAUUAUUCUUGUGUCUUUAAAAAUAUGCUCUGAUGAAGGAAUCGUCUGAGGAUAUUUUUAUUAAUAUUUAUAUAAAUUAGUUAAAUUACAAUGAAUUCUAAUUUCUUUUUUUAAUUCAAUAUUAAAUAUUUAAUAUGCUAAAAUUUUAAUAAUUUAUUCAAUUAAUAAAAUAAAGUAUAAAGUAGAGUUACAAAUAAUUUGAAAUAUAAUAUGAAGAAUAUUAUGCAAAAUGCAAAGUCAAAGAAUAUUAGUCCGUUAGAUACAUAGAUGGAUAUAUUAAUAUCUUUUUAGCUCAGGAUUUUCAGAUUUAACCCUUUCCGUGUUCAUUGCCAGGAACUCAUUCACGUGCCCAGGUGCUACUUGAAUGAGGGAGAGGCAAUGAGUAUGAUGACUUUAGUUCAUAAGCUAAUACAAAUUUUUUAGCGACUGACGAUGCGUUAGUGUAUCGUGCACGAUGUAUUUUCCACAUUGUGUGUGUAUAGUUAGGCUGUGGAAUUGCGUCGUUUCAAUUAUUAUUUCCUUCAUUAUUUAAUCACAAUUUACGAACAUAUUCGCAAUUAAAUAUUGCGAAUAACUCAUAAAUAAUAAGACUAAUUAUUAAUCUUUAUUCUCAAAGUUACAAUGAUAUUUUAAUGAUAAUUUUGGUUCACAAUAAUGGAACUAUUCACUCUA